UACGAAGGGUGCAAGCGUUACUCGGAAUUACUGGGCGUAAAGCGUGCGUAGGUGGUUUGUUAAGUCUGUUGUGAAAGCCCCGGGCUCAACCUGGGAAUGGCAAUGGAUACUGGCAAGCUAGAGUGCGGUAGAGGGUAGUGGAAUUCCCGGUGUAGCGGUGAAAUGCGUAGAGAUCGGGAGGAACACCAGUGGCGAAGGUGGCUACCUGGACCAGCACUGACACUGAGGCACGAAAGCGUGGGGAGCAAACGGG
rnacentral:rRNA from 1 species